rnacentral:rRNA from 1 species
ACGGUGUGCACUCGAUGUUGNCGGAAUUGUCCCCGCCAGUGUCUAAGUACGCGUAAGUGCACCGCCUGGGGAGUACGGUCGCAAGAUUAAACUCAAAGAAUUGACGGGGACCCGCACAAGCGGAGGAGCAUGUGGCUUAAUUCGAUGCAACGCGAAGAACCUUACCUGGACUUGACAUAUAACUGCACAUCCUGUGAAAGCAGGAUUCCUUCGAGGGUGUUAUACAGGUGCUGCAUGGCUGUCGUCAGUUCGUGCCGUGAGGUGUUAGGUUAAGUCCUGCAACGAACGCAACCCCUAUGUUUAGUUGCCAUCAGGUAAUGCUGGGCACUCUAGACAGACUGCCCGUGCAAUCGGGAGGAAGGUGGGGACGACGUCAAGUCAGUAUGGCCCUUACGUCCAGGGCUGCACACGUGCUACAAUGACCGGUACAGAGGGCAGCGAUACCGCGAGGUGGAGCUAAUCCCUUAAAACCGGUCCCAGUUCGGAUUGGAGUCUGCAACUCGACUCCAUGAAGUUGGAUUCGCUAGUAACGGCGUAUCAGCUACGGCGCCGUGAUACGUUCCCGGGUCUUGUACACACCGCCCGUCACAUCAUGAAAGCCGUCUGCACCCAAAGUCGCUGACUCAACUGAUUUAUUAGAG